GGAGAAUAGGUUAGGAGUGUAAGCACGGUAACGUGUUCAGCUGACUAAUACUAAUAGGUCGAGGACUUAAUCAAG
rnacentral:rRNA from 1 species